AAAGCAGGUUGCAAUUACGGUGUUUCCUUUUGUGGAAGUACUGACAUUAUCCUGCUGAAAGAAAAUCUGUCAGUCAUGUUUGAUUUUGCCUUAAUGAGGGUAAAGUCGUGACUGAUUGACAUGGACACUU